CUCUAUCUUUACUUUCGCUUGUGCUGGUGCAUAUGGUGGUUUGCCACUUGACAGUAAGAGUAAUAUCUAUUAUGUCUUGCUGCCUGGUUGAAAUCUCAGUUUCAUCUCUAAUGAACUUAUGCACAGAAACACACACACACACACACAUACACUUUUGUUACAUGUUUUUCCUUUUAAGUCCAAACAUUUCAAAUUGCUGUAGAAAUGGUUCAAACUAUUUCUGUCUCAUUUAAGAAAUAUUUUCUCACUCAAAUAUCUUCAGGCAAUUCUCUCAACUUUUGUGGUAAUUUUAGUUUUUUUCAUAUUGGUCUUCACUUUUUAUAAAAUCAGUUUUUUUUAAAAUGUUCACAUUUUUUUUUUGUUUUAUCUGGGUGGUAGGGAAUGAACCCAUGGCUACCUCAGUGGUAUAAUUUACUUUGUUUAUAUCAAAAUACAGAGAUUUAAUUUAAUCAUGCAUGUUUGGUAGAGUAUUCAUGAUGGAAAGAUAGAAUGAAAGUCUCUUUGGAUAAAAACUUAUAAAAAAGAAUAAUAAAGAAAUUAAUGAGGUUGUUUUUUGGUGGAGCACUUUUAUUUAUUUAUUUAUUUAUUUAUUGGUACUGGGGAUUGAACCCAUGGGUUCAAUUAACCACUGAGCCACAUCCUCAGACCUUUUUAUUUUUAAUUCAGAUACAGGAUCUUGCUAAGUGGCUUAGGGUCUUGCUAAGUUUUGAAGGCUGGUUUUGAACUCAUGAUCCUCCUGCCACAACCUCCUGAGCUAUUGGGAUUACAGGUGGGUGCCACUGCACCCAGCCGGUUAAGGAGUUUCUGAAGAAUUAUUUUCUUGUAAUUUCUUUUCUUUUCUUUUCUUUUUUUUUAAAAGAGAGAGUGUGAGAGAGAGAGAGAGAGAGAGAGAGAGAGAGAGAGAGAGAAUUUUUUAAUAUUUAUUUUUUAGUUUUCGGCGGGCAUAACAUCUUUGUUUGUUUGUGGUGCUAAGGAUCAAACCCGGGCCGCACGCAUGCCAGGCGAGCGGGCUACCGCUUGAGCCACAUCCCCAGCCCGUAAUUUCUUUUCUUGUAAUUCUUCUUUUGUUACCACAAGAAACAUGUAAUAUGCUAACUGAGGUAACCAUCUGCUUUUCCUCUCACUCCUCCCCUUCUGAGUUCCUUUGAUCCUACUGAUAAUCAGAACAUCAAGAAUAUCCUGCAAACCACUCAGCCACUCAAAACUUGUCAAAGUUGCAGGUGCUUUCCUCUAAAGUUUGUUUUAAAGCUGUGGAAAGAGUAUUUUCUUUCUUUUAUUUUUUCUUUUUUUGGUGAAAGUCAGGAAGGAAGAACUGGUUGCUCAAAGACAGCACAUCUAUCCCGACAUUCCUGUCUUCAUGAAUUUUUUGAUUCCUUCCUAUACUGUUAUUAUUUAGAUAUGAAGCAUUCCCCAGACUCAUGUGUUGAAAGAUUUAUCCCCACUGUAGCAAUGUUUAGAUGUGGGGCUCUGGGGAAGUAAUUGGAUUGUGAGGGUAUUAACCUCAUCAAUGAACAUAUCCAUUAAUGAGUUCUUAGCUGAUGACUUUGUGAAGAAGUGGUGGAAACUGCAGGAGAUAGGGUCUAUUGAGGAAAUAGGUCAUUGGGGGCAUUCCCUGGAAGGCCAUGUCUUGUCCCCAGCCCCUUCCUUCCUCCUCUCUCUGCUUCCUGCCACCAUGAGGUGAUCACCUCUGCUCCACCAUGCCACCUUUGCCAAGAUCCUCUGCCUCACCACAGGUCUACAGCGAUGGAGCCAGAUGAGCAUCAACCUAAACCUCUGAAACUGUGAUCAAAAUAAAUCUUUUUCCUCUUUCAAGUUGAUUUUUCUCAUGUAUUUGGUCACAGUGAAGAAAAGCUAAUGCAAAUACCUUAUAUCAAAUACUUUCUGACAUCAAAUCCUGCUUUGUAAGGCCACUACUAACUCACAUUGAAAACUCAAACUGUAGAACAGUCUAAGCUGCUCAAGAUAUCACCAAAAGUCCAAAAUCUUUGAUUGAUCUUCCCAUGUCCAUACAUUCAGCCUGCUCCCUUCUGUGGGUCCCUUCUCAUGUGUAUUCUCCUUUCCUUUCUUUUAAUUAUUUCUCUAUGUAAAUCUUUCUCAGAAAUUCAGUUAUUUUAUCAUUAGGUUCCUGAAUUAUGCUCAGAUCUGACUCCACCUGUCAGUCUGAAGGUAAUAGAGGACUGUCGGGGUAGGGCAUACAGCUAAGAGGUUUUUCCUUGUAGCAUCAUUGCCUCAGAUGAGUUCAUUUCACGGUUGACUAAGAAGUAGAAGGAGGCUGGGGUGUAGCUCAGUGGAAAAGUGCAUGUCUGAUAUGUGAGGCCCUUGGUUCAAGCUCUAGCCCCUUAAAGAAAUGGAAGAAAUUUAGCAGAACCAUCAUACCUGACCUAACCAUCCAUCUAUAUAUUUAUCUGCCUAGCCCCAUACCAAAUGGAGAACACAUAUUGUUAACAGGUACAAAUACUUAACUAAUAAAAUUCUUCAGUGUAUGAGAACAUAAAUGAACAACGUUCCUGAGGCUUUAUUUCAUAUAGAUCCUUCUCAUAAAUUCAAUGUAAU
rnacentral:lncRNA from 1 species